rnacentral:tRNA from 1 species
GGGGGAAUAGCUCAGUGGUAGAGCAUUCGACUGCUAGAUCGAGAGGUCCUCUGUUCAAACCCGGAUGUUCCCUUC